AGACAGCAGCAGCCGCGGGAAUACGGAGGGUGCAAGCGUUAAUCGGAAUUACUGGGCGUAAAGCGCACGCAGGCGGUCUGACAAGUCAGAUGUGAAAUCCCCGGGCUUAACCUGGGAACUGCAUUUGAAACUGUCAGGCUGGAGUCUUGUAGAGGGGGGUAGAAUUCCAGGUGUAGCGGUGAAAUGCGUAGAGAUCUGGAGGAAUACCGGUGGCGAAGGCGGCCCCCUGGACAAAGACUGACGCUCAGGUGCGAAAGCGUGGGGAGCAAACAGGAUUAGAUACCCGGGUAGUCCCUGUCUCUUAUAC
rnacentral:rRNA from 1 species